AACAACUUUAAAUUCAGCUCAAAUAAGGCAAUUUUAGAUCUUAAACCAUUACUCAAACAACACAGCAAAAGGAGAGAGAUUUCCUUGGAGACGAGGAUUUUCCUUCUCGGUGUCGUCAAAUUGGCUUUGCCUUUUCUUUUAGUUCUCCAAGGACUUGGGUUCUUUGUCGUUGUGUUUACUUAAGUGAGUUGUGCGUCGAUUUCUCGAGAAAUUAAGUUCCAAUUUGCAUUUGUAUACAACCAACAAGUUCCUUUCAAUUUAGUCAAUCUUCGUUGAUGCUGAAAAAGGGCAUACUUACAGCCGUUUUGAAUUAACGUGAAUACUUUCGGGAUGGACGAUAGAUCUUCAACGUUGGCAAAUGGCUGAUGACAAGUCAUUUAAUAUCGGUGAUGGUUUGUUGCCUUUUAUUGCUUCGACACACAUAAACUCUCCAUUAAGAUGGAAAAAACUUAUCUUUGCUUCGUCCUCAUUCACAG